GACGAACGCUGGCGGCGUGCCUAAUACAUGCAAGUAGAACGCUGAAGCGAGGAGCUUCCUCUUCUUGGAUGAGUUGCGAACGGGUGAGUAACGCGUAGGUAACCUGCCUUGUAGCGGGGGAUAACUAUUGGAAACGAUAGCUAAUACCGCAUAACAAUGGAUGACACAUGUCAUUUAUUUGAAAGGGGCAAUUGCUCCACUACAAGAUGGACCUGCGUUGUAUUAGCUAGUAGGUGAGGUAAUGGCUCAACUAGGCGACGAUACAUAGCCGACCUGAGAGGGUGAUCGGCCCCAAUGGGACUGGGACACGGCCCAGACUCCUAAGGGAGGCAGCCGUAGGGAAACUUCGGCAAUGGGGGCAACCCUGACCGAGCAACGCCGCGGGAGUGAAGAAGGUUUUCGGAUCGGAAAGCUCUGUUGUAAGUCAAGAACGGGAGUGAGAGUGGAAAGUUCACACUGUGACGGUAGCUUACCAGAAAGGGACGGCUAACUACGUG
rnacentral:rRNA from 1 species